CCCCGCCCUCCAGCUCUCCCCAUGGAUAUGCUCAGGACCAGUUCUCACACUGACCUUUAUUCCAGCAGCACCAAGGUGAGGAGGUGCCUGAAGUGCCAUCCCGUGCAGCCUGAGCAUGCCUCGUUGAGGAUGAAGCCUGCUUUCCAGCGGUCACCAAAGCCAAGGUCAUAG
rnacentral:lncRNA from 1 species